UGCAAGUCGAGCGGGGAGAUGUAGCUUGCUACAUUUUCUAGCGGCGGACGGGUGAGUAAUGCUUAGGAAUCUGCCUAUUAGUGGGGGACAACGUUUCGAAAGGAACGCUAAUACCGCAUACGCCCUACGGGGGAAAGCAGGGGCUCUUCGGACCUUGCGCUAAUAGAUGAGCCUAAGUCAGAUUAGCUAGUUGGUGGGGUAAAGGCCUACCAAGGCGACGAUCUGUAGCGGGUCUGAGAGGAUGAUCCGCCACACUGGGACUGAGACACGGCCCAGACUCCUACGGGAGGCAGCAGUGGGGAAUAUUGGACAAUGGGGGGAACCCUGAUCCAGCCAUGCCGCGUGUGUGAAGAAGGCCUUUUGGUUGUAAAGCACUUUAAGCGAGGAGGAGGCUCCUAUAGAUAAUACCUAUAGUGAGUGGACGUUACUCGCAGAAUAAGCACCGGCUAACUCUGUGCCAGCAGCCGCGGUAAUACAGAGGGUGCGAGCGUUAAUCGGAUUUACUGGGCGUAAAGCGUACGUAGGCGGCUUUUUAAGUCGGAUGUGAAAUCCCUGAGCUUAACUUAGGAAUUGCAUUCGAUACUGGGAAGCUAGAGUAUGGGAGAGGAUGGUAGAAUUCCAGGUGUAGCGGUGAAAUGCGUAGAGAUCUGGAGGAAUACCGAUGGCGAAGGCAGCCAUCUGGCCUAAUACUGACGCUGAGGUACGAAAGCAUGGGGAGCAAACAGGAUUAGAUACCCUGGUAGUCCAUGCCGUAAACGAUGUCUACUAGCCGUUGGGGCCUUUGA
rnacentral:rRNA from 1 species